rnacentral:tRNA from 2 species
GGGCAGGUUGCCGAGUGGUCAAAGGCGGCAGACUGUAAAUCUGCUCCCUCAGGGUUCGGAGGUUCGAAUCCUCCCCUGCCCA